CACCAGGGGCAGCCCGCAUCCCGCGGGUGUCGCUCCUAGGUUCUGAACAGGCGAAGAAUGGGCUGCCACUGCAGCCCGUCGAGACCUUGGUUCCACCUGACACACCGCUGGCUGAUUCUUUUUAAUCUAUGCCUAUGAGGUGUUUGAUGGAACUACAAGCAGGAUAGUGAAGAUGGUGUUGUGAUGCUUUGUACAUGUGAGCCAGAUAUUGCAGAAAUAUUUUUCUGAACGUGAGGACAUGAUCCAUUGAUACAAUCCAACAUCGGUGAUUUACAAGAUAAUUGUAAGGUUGUUGUCGUGUUCCACUCUUGGUUUUGUUCCUUUUAUCCAAGGCUUCAUCCUUAUGGUGAAAUCUGACACGGGACUAUUAUUCUUGGUUGAUAUAGGCAUGUCAAGUGCUUCAGGUUUUACACAGUGAUCAGUUGGACUCUGCAAUUGGAGUUUUGGGUGGCGCAAGACAAGAUGUCUUCAAGUUGCAGCAUGCCACCUGCUACAUCCAUCUAUCUUCAGUUACGCAGAUGACCAGCAAUUCUUGUGACACUACCCUUCGAGUAUGAAGGAAAUUAAAGAAGGAAAGAAUUUCAGACCAAUAGAGAAAUGACUAAUGAUGGCAACGAGCAUGAAGGUAGCAAAUUGAUUCUUACAUUCAAAUGGAGGGGGUUUUACUAGCUUCAUUGCAAAAACUUAGUUAAAUAGAAUAUGUCAGUAAGCCUUCAUACGUCCUCAGUGUGUAUCCAUUACUUAGUCAUGCACAAUGCCUAUAUUUCAGCUAUAAAUGAUGUGUGCUGUCAUGCAUUCAUUG